rnacentral:rRNA from 1 species
CUUAAAGGAAUUGACGGGGAGGCGCACAAGCGGUGGAGCAUGUGGUUUAAUUCGAAGCAACGCGAAGAACCUUACCAGGUCUUGACAUCCUCUGACAACCCUAGAGAUAGGGCUUCUCCUUCGGGAGCAGAGUGACAGGUGGUGCAUGGUUGUCGUCAGCUCGUGUCGUGAGAUGUUGGGUUAAGUCCCGCAACGAGCGCAACCCUUGAUCUUAGUUGCCAUCAUUAAGUUGGGCACUCUAAGGUGACUGCCGGUGACAAACCGGAGGAAGGUGGGGAUGACGUCAAAUCAUCAUGCCCCUUAUGACCUGGGCUACACACGUGCUACAAUGGACGGUACAAAGAGCUGCAAGACCGCGAGGUGGAGCUAAUCUCAUAAAACCGUUCUCAGUUCGGAUUGUAGGCUGCAACUCGCCUACAUGAAGCUGGAAUCGCUAGUAAUCGCGGAUCAGCAUGCCGCGGUGAAUACGUUCCCGCCCUUUGCACACACCGCCGG